GAACAGUGCCAAGUAAGUAAUUUUGAAGCCUAGUGGUUCUUAUUGAUUUUGGACGUGUUCAAAGGUAAAUCAUGGACACAGUGAAAAUUAGUAAAAAAAACUAGCUAUACACUCAUCUUCCUUUUAAAUACCCCCUACAUAACACAUACAGAAGGACCCUUUUCUGAUUUCAGACUUGCCUUCUACUCAUCAUAAUCUGUAUCUGUAUUGAUCAGUCUAAUGAUUGAUGUAGAGUAAUGGAGCACAUCUGCUUUGUUGUUAGAUUAUGAUUAUGUUGGUUAACUUGCUUACUUUUUUGAUUGCUACUUCGGUAGAUUUUGAAAUGUUUCCCAGUUUUUUUCUGUUGCAUGUGAUGUGAAAAUCCUCCAUGAAUGUUGAGGGGUUCUGUUAUUGUUGAUAAAGGACAGCAACCUUGGCCAGUGGGACCUGCACCACAGCCUAACAUUCCACAUGGAUCAGAGUUGAGAGCAGAUCCCUCACCAAAGACAAGAGCACCCCACUAACCUGCUCUCCUUCCUGGGCUGCGGUCAUUGUCAACUGAAGGUUUGUUCACUCUGAUAUCUUUAAAAAGAACACAAGUUUUUAAGGUAAGCCUCUGGAAAUUCAGAAUAUUUUUUUCUGGUGUGUUCUUGGUAGGGUAGGAACAAGGCUCUGCUGGAGCAGACACAGCAGGCGAGGAGUAGGAGCAGGCUCUGACGCGCAUCUCGCCAGCCUACGGGCAACAGACGUCCACCAUGCCACACCAACACAGUCCAUUAUGAAGGCACAAGUGUAUUAACCAGUGUCUGCCAUAGGGCCAGUUUGAUGUAAUUCUCUUAAAUGUUAUAUAAAUGACGUUUUGCAUUAAAUGUUGCUCUUCAUUCUGAGAGAGACGCUCACUUUUGGAGUGAAUACUUCUGGAGCGUA
ensembl:lncRNA